GACGAACCGUGCGAACGUUAUUCGGAAUCACUGGGCUUAAAGCGCGUGUAGGCGGGCCGGCACGUCGGUCGCUGAAAUCCCCCGGCUCAACCGGGGAAGGGGCGCCGAUACGACCGGCCUGGAGGGGCGUAGGGGGACCUGGAACUUCCGGUGGAGCGGUGAAAUGCGUUGAGAUCGGAAGGAACGCCCGUGGCGAAAGCGAGGUCCUGGACGUCUGCUGACGCUGAGACGCGAAAGCCAGGGGAGCGAACGGG
rnacentral:rRNA from 1 species